CUCUGUGGAUCAGUGGCGAACGGGUGAGUAACACGUGAGCAACCUGCCCCGGACUCUGGGAUAAGCGCUGGAAACGGCGUCUAAUACUGGAUACGAGCUGCAACCGCAUGGUUAGCAGUUGGAAAGAUUUUUCGGUCUGGGAUGGGCUCGCGGCCUAUCAGCUUGUUGGUGAGGUAAUGGCUCACCAAGGCGUCGACGGGUAGCCGGCCUGAGAGGGUGACCGGCCACACUGGGACUGAGACACGGCCCAGACUCCUACGGGAGGCAGCAGUGGGGAAUAUUGCACAAUGGGCGAAAGCCUGAUGCAGCAACGCCGCGUGAGGGACGACGGCCUUCGGGUUGUAAACCUCUUUUAGCAAGGAAGAAGCGAAAGUGACGGUACUUGCAGAAAAAGCGCCGGCUAACUACGUGCCAGCAGCCGCGGUAAUACGUAGGGCGCAAGCGUUAUCCGGAAUUAUUGGGCGUAAAGAGCUCGUAGGCGGUUUGUCGCGUCUGCUGUGAAAACCCGAGGCUCAACCUCGGGCCUGCAGUGGGUACGGGCAGACUAGAGUGCGGUAGGGGAGAUUGGAAU
rnacentral:rRNA from 1 species